rnacentral:rRNA from 1 species
AUUGAACGCUGGCGGCAUGCCUUACACAUGCAAGUCGAACGGUAACAGGUCUUCGGAUGCUGACGAGUGGCGAACGGGUGAGUAAUACAUCGGAACGUGCCUAGUUGUGGGGGAUAACUACUCGAAAGAGUGGCUAAUACCGCAUGAGAUCUACGGAUGAAAGCAGGGGAUCGCAAGACCUUGUGCUACUAGAGCGGCCGAUGGCAGAUUAGGUAGUUGGUGGGAUAAAAGCUUACCAAGCCGACGAUCUGUAGCUGGUCUGAGAGGACGAUCAGCCACACGGGGACUGAGAAGCGGCCCAGACUCCUACGGGAGGCAGCAGUGGGGAAUUUUGGACAAUGGGCGCAAGCCUGAUCCAGCAAUGCCGCGUGCAGGAUGAAGGCCUUCGGGUUGUAAACUGCUUUUGUACGGAACGAAAAGCCCCGGGUUAAUACCCUGGGGUCAUGACGGUACCGUAAGAAUAAGCACCGGCUAACUACGUGCCAGCCGCCGCAGUAA